GCUAGGGUUUCAAUAACCCUAGCGCCGCCUCAAACUCCUCUCUCUCUCCUCUGCCAUCUUUGUCGGAAAUGGAAAAAUGCAAGAGGUCCUCAGUCUUUUCAGCCUUUGCCAUGGCCAAAUGAAAUAAUACAUUUAUUUGAACACCCCAUUUUCAACCAGCAACGCCCAAACACGAUUGGAGGCACAAAAGGUUCCAAAUUCAUUCUUGUCUCGGCUGCGCAACAAAAGGUAGACAGGGAGGUGAUCCAGAUUCAUAGGAGCUGUCAGCAGACUUUGAGAGCACUCCAUGGUUUCGGAGG